rnacentral:rRNA from 1 species
AUACGUAGGGGGCGAGCGUUGUCCGGAAUGAUUGGGCGUAAAGGGCGCGUAGGCGGCGCGGUAAGUCUGGAGUGAAAGUCCUGCUUUCAAGGUGGGAAUUGCUUUGGAUACUGCCGCGCUUGAGUGCAGGAGAGGUUAUCGGAAUUCCCGGUGUAGCGGUGAAAUGCGUAGAGAUCGGGAGGAACACCAGUGGCGAAGGCGGGUAACUGGACUGCAACUGACGCUGAGGCGCGAAAGUGUGGGGAGCAAACAGGAUUAGAUACCCUGGUAGUCCACACUGUAAACGAUGAAUGCUAGGUGUAAGAGGUAUCGACCCCUUUUGUGCCGGAGUCAACACAAUAAGCAUUCCGCCUGGGGAGUACGGCCGCAAGGUUGAAACUCAAAGGAAUUGACGGGGG